rfam:Chryseobacterium chaponense strain DSM 23145 genome assembly, contig: Ga0111693_103
AAAAUUUAUCUUUGCACCGAAGAUUUCAAUCAUCAAGGUGAAUCGUGUGAAAAUCACGAACUGUCGCGCAACUGUAAAUCCGGCGAGGAUAAGUCAGAUCCCUUUUUUGAAAUUAAAAAAUG